GGUGAACGCUGGCGGCGUGCCUAACACAUGCAAGUCGUACGAGAAAGCCGGCUUCGGCUGGUGAGUAAAGUGGCGCACGGGUGAGUAACGCGUGGAUAAUCUGCCCUUAAGUGUGGAAUAACGUACCGAAAGGUGCGCUAAUACCGCAUAAUGCCUGGCAACACAAGUUGUCCGGCCAAAGAAGGCCUCUGUUUACAAGCUUUCGCUUCAGGAUGAGUCCGCGUACCAUUAGCUUGUUGGUGGGGUAAUGGCCUACCAAGGCUGCGAUGGUUAGCUGGUCUGAGAGGAUGAUCAGCCACACUGGAACUGAGACACGGUCCAGACUCCUACGGGAGGCAGCAGUGAGGAACAUUGCGCAAUGGGGGCAACCCUGACGCAGCAACGCCGCGUGAGUGAGGAAGGUUUUCGGACUGUAAAGCUCUGUCGAGCGGGAAGAAGUGUACCAUGGCUAAUAUCCAUGAUAUUUGACGGUACCGCUAGAGG
rnacentral:rRNA from 1 species